rnacentral:rRNA from 1 species
UACGUAGGUGGCGAGCGUUAUCCGGAUUUAUUGGGCGUAAAGCGUGCGCAGGCGGUUUGUUAAGUCUAAAAUCAAAGCCCGAGGCUUAACCUCGGUUCGUUCUGGAAACUGGCAGACUAGAGUAUGGUAGAGGCAAAUGGAAUUCCUAGUGUAGCGGUGAAAUGCGUAGAUAUUAGGAGGAACACCAGUGGCGAAGGCGAUUUGCUGGACCAUCACUGACGCUGAGGUACGAAAGCGUGGGGAGCAAAUAGG